ensembl:lncRNA
AUCAGAGCCGCUCUUCUCGAGAACCAUGAAAUCUUUUCUCAUUUUUGCCUGUGUCUUUGGACUCUGCUGUGCCGUGCUAGCAGAGGAUGAAGAACUUCGAGAGAAGCGCUCAUCAAGCCGUUCCUCAGAGAGACAGCCUGGAGGCUUCUACAACCCAUACCAAUUUCAGCGUCCCUAUCCCUACCCGUACUUUCCCCCUUACCAGCCCCAGCCUCUGCCACAGCCUUUGCCUCAGCCUCUGCCACCAAACAACAAUGCUCUCCUCAGCCUCUUGCCAUUCAUCUUAGCACAGCUGGCAUCCAACACCCCUGCUCCAGCACCGGCCCCCGCACCUGCACCCGCACCCGCACCCGCCCCGGCCCCUGCACCAGCCCCUGCACCAGCCCCUGCACCUGCACCUGCCCCAGCUCCUGCUCCUGCCCCUGGUGGGAGAUAAGACAUCCAUUAAAACUGAGCAUGUGUCUGAUUGACUUGAUACUCUUGUUCUUGGUAUAUUAAAACAAAUAAACUUUGCAUUAUUGAAUCAUACAUUUGUGUUUGUCUUAUUCUUUAAAAUGUAUAGGAAAAUGUACAUUAUGAGAUUUUUUAGUGUUUUUAUUAACAUAUAGCAGCCAAAAAAAUUAAAAUAAUAGUCCUUUAAUCUGUUUUGAGCAGCGUUCCAGUUACCAGGACUUCUUUGAGUCUCUGACAGACUAGUCAGUAUGCGGUGUGUAUUUUUCAGGGACUCUUUCCGCAGUUACACACGUCAGUAGAUGGCGACAAGUUAUUGACUUUUGUUCAGGAACGAAACAAAUUACAGUGGGGAAAAUAUUUAUUUGAUCCCCUGCUGAUUUUGUAAGUUUGCCCACUUACAAAGGAAUGAAUGUAAUUUCCUGUAAUUUUUAUGGUAGGUUUAUUUCAACGUAUAGAGACAGAAUAUUAACCAAAAAAAGGUUAGAAAUAGAUUUGCAUUUCAGUGAGUGAAAUAAGUAUUUGAUCCCCAAGCAAAACAUAACUUAGUACUUGGUGCAGAAACCCUUGUUGGCAAGCAAAGAGGUAAGAUGCUUUUUGUAGUUGGUCACCAGGUUUGCACACAUCUCAGGAGGGAUUUUGAUCCACUCCUCUUUACAGAUCCUCUCUAAAUCCUUAAGGGUUCUUGGCUGUCGUUUGGAAACACAAAGUUUCAGCUCCCCCUACCGAUUUUCUGAUUGACGUCUGGAGACUGGCUAGGCCACUCCAUGACCUUAAUGUGCUUCUUCUUCUGGGUCGUUGACAUGCUGGAAGACCCAUCCAUGACCCAUCUUCAGUGUUCUGGCUGAGGGAAGGAGAUUCUUGUCCACGAUUUUACAGUACAUGGCCCCGUCCAUUUGCCCAUCAAUGUGGUGAAGUCGUCCUGUAUCCUUAGCAGAAAAACAGCCCCAAAGCAUAAUGUUUCCACCUCUGUGCUUGACUGUAGGGAUGGUGUUCUUGGGGUAAUAGUCAGCAUUUCUUUCCCUCCAACACAGUGAGUCGGGUUAAUGCCAAAGAGCUCAAUUUUGGUCUCAUCUGAGCAUCAACUCUUUCUCAUGAUCAUCCUUACCCCAUGAGGCAAGAGUCAGAGCCAGAAUUAUUGCUGGUUGGUAGGGGAUCAAAUACUUACAGUAUUUCACUCACUGAAAUGCAAAUGAAUUUCUAACCUUUAUAUAAUGUGUUUUUUUUUUCUGGAUUUUUUUGCUUGAUAUUAUGGUAUUAUGUUAUCUGUUAAAAUAAACCUACCAUGAAAAUUACGGACCCUUCAUUUUUUUAUAAGUGGGUAAACUUACAAAAUCAGCAGGGGAUCAAAUAAAUAUUUUCCCCACUGUAUAAGUAAAUCAAUGAACCAUUCACAAAUCAGAUUAGUUCAAAAGCACUGAAUCAUUCAAGAACAAAACAACACUACUGCAUAACAAUGGGUCCUCUGUGGCUUUGUUUAAAGCUAUUUUUAUUGAUGGAGCAAAAACAGACAAUGUGACUGGCAGUAUUGUGUCUAAAAUGUAAGUUCUUAAUUUCCUCUUUAUUGAACUGUUAGCCUAUACAAAGGAAUGCUUGUCACUACAGUAACUUCGAAACGGUUGCUUGUUUAGAGGCGUUUUUAAAUUUUAAAGGAGGCUUGGACAUUUCUUGUACUUACUGUUUUUGUAUUUAAAAAUGUUAAAGAAUAGGUUUAUAACUCUUGCCAGAGUGAGUUAACAUGGGUCAGCUUAGGUUGUUUUUGAGAACUUGACAGGGCAGAAUGUUUAUUUUUGUAAUUGUUAAAAUGUAUGUGUCACAAGGUGACGAUCUUUAGGGGCGGAACCAAAAUUCGGGAAGUUUGGUUCCGCCCGGAAGUGUUUCCGCCCGGACCGGAAAAACAGAACACCGGAAUUUCCGGUAGCGCCGUAAGAAGGAAAAUCAGGGAAUUCGAUGCACCUGUGCCUAGUUAGGGACAGCGGUUGGUGAUUGGAGGAUACGCUGGACAAGGCAGUACUUAAGGCCAAGUUAUUUCACAGUCUGGGUGCGCUCUUUCUGGUGUGUGUGAAGCACUGUGUUGUGCCCGUCUUGGUGCGCUGCUGGCGGCUGUCUAACUCUCUCUCUCCCUCAGGCUGGAAUUGUAUGAUUGUGAAGACAUCGCGAACCUUAAAGGUUGAGAAGUGAACGGAUUAUACGGCGAACUGAGACGACGUGAAAAAGGGGAUUGGAAGCGGCAUUGAUGUGAGUACUAAGAGCCAGUCGAAAGUGCCCUGUAUAUUGACCUGGCGUUGUGUAGAUCUCUCCAGGAGGAGGAGGGCGGCCCUACCCCUAAUAUAGCGUGGUGGGAGAGCCGAAGGAAUACUUAUUGAAGUAGUCACAACGACGACAUCACUAGCUAGGCCGCAUAUUCCAUCGCCAGAUCCGAACCAAGCGAAGUGAAGGAAGACGGGUGUCCUUUUCGUACACUGAGUGUGGUGGGUGAGUCUUCAUGCUGUGAAAACCUAUAAUUUUGACGUGGUGCUGUAUAUUGCUGUGGGCUGCUGUGUAUUGCCGUGUGUCCUGUCAGAUAAACCCCCGCCUUCACGCACUUCGUCGCGGGAGGACAAGGAGACUGCUGGUCCUAGCCUAGUUCAGUACAGUAUAUGUUGUGAGCGUGCUUCAGAUCUCCGGAGAUAGCACAGUACGCUGUGUCCAGCCCAGAGGUGAGAGCCAUUCAAAGCAAACUAACUGUGCUAUUGCGUCCAAGUUGAUACCUGUGGAGAGGAAAGGAAAGAGAGAGUGAGUAACACAAGGAGAAACAGAGGAAACCUGUACUUACAGUACGCUGUGUUCAGCCCAGAGGUGAGAGCCAUUCAAAGCAAACUAACUGUGCUAUUGUGCCCAAGUUGAUACCUGUGGAGAGAAAAGGAGAGAGAGUGGGUAACACGAGGAGAGACCGAGGAAACCUGUACUUACGCCGCUGCCUGUGGAGAAAGAGAAAGCGAGUGAGCACCCAAGGAACGAACUGUGUGAACCAGUACUUACUGUGAGCUGUAAUCAGCGAAGAGGUGAGAGCAAAACCAAGCCGAAUUAACUGUGGCUUUGUGUCCCAGCCGUUGCCUGUGGAGGAAGAGAAAGAGAGUGAGCACCCCGAGAACGAACUGUGUGAACCAGUACUUACCGUGAGCUGUAUUCAGCGAAGAGGAGGAAGAAGGAGGGCGCUACGGAUACCUAAGACUCAGGCCGGGGCCCGAGUCCCACGCCCCGGAUCCCCGUGGCCCCCUUUCUCCCUGACCUCUUCCCGGCCAUAGCCCAUCUGGAGGGCCGAGUCAGAGUUUAGUUUUAAUUGCCCUUUCCCUAUUCCCCCAAGCUAUUUUUUUAAAUAUUUAAAUAAAGAUUGUUUUAUCACUUACUUGUUCUCGUGUUGUUUGGCCAUUGGGUUGGCUUUGGGGACCUCCUCGAGGUGGAAGUUGAGAAGGGGUGUGGCUUAGUCAAAGCAUAGCCAGCCCCUGGGUGUGACAGAUUUGGCGUAGUCGGCAGGGUUUCCACCUCGAGUUGAGUAACCAAGGUCGUCCAAUGACCGACAACGCGGGGCCUUCAGCCCAACCCCGUGCCAUGCCCGUUUUU